rnacentral:rRNA from 1 species
UAGGGAAUCUUCCACAAUGGGCGAAAGCCUGAUGGAGCAACGCCGCGUGUGUGAUGAAGGGUUUCGGCUCGUAAAACNCUGUUGUAAGAGAAGAAUGACAUUGAGAGUAACUGUUCAAUGUGUGACGGUAUCUUACCAGAAAGGAACGGCUAAAUACGCGCCAG